AACAAGGUUUUCCGGUUCUGCCGGAACAGAGUGACAGGUGCUGCAUGGCUGUCGUCAGCUCGUGUCGUGAGAUGUUGGGUUAAGUCCCGCAACGAGCGUAACCCUUGUCUUUAGUUGCCAGUAUUCAGUUAGGCACUCUAAAGAGACUGCCUCGGUUAACGGGGAGGAAGGUGGGGGAUGACGUCAAGUCAUCAUGGCCCUUAUGACCGGGGCUACACACGUACUACAAUGGUCGGUACAGACGGUCGCAAGCUCGCGAGAGUAAGCUAAUCCGAGAAAACCGAUCGUAGUCCGGAUCGCAGUCUGCAACUCGACUGCGUGAAGUCGGAAUCGCUAGUAAUCGCAAAUCAGAAUGUUGCGGUGAAUACGUUCCCGGGCCUU
rnacentral:rRNA from 1 species